CCCCGCCCCCUUUCCGCCUCCGGCUUGGCUCCCAUUCCUGAAUAAGCUCGGGUGCCUCAGCUGCUUCAGUUCGGUUGCGCCUGCGUCUGCUGUGCAGUGUCUGCUGUGCUCGCCUCCGAGCCAUGAUUCGAACCUCAGAGGGUCGGCCCCUGCGCCGGGUUUUUGUAGUCGGGGUUGGGAUGACCAAGUUCAUUAAGCCUGGAAUGGAGAAUUCAAGAGACUACCCUGACUUGGCAAAAGAAGCAGGUCAGAAGGCUUUAGCUGAUGCACAGAUCCCUUACUCAGCAGUGGAACAGGCAUGUAUUGGCUACGUUUAUGGUAUG